rnacentral:lncRNA from 1 species
CCACCCACGUGCCUAAACUUAGUUUGUUUCCAAGCACUUUAUCGAUGUCAGCUGGGAAAAACUCAGUCAAACCCAUGAACCUACGGUAUAAAUACUCUGCAUUUUCUUCAUUUAUUUUAAAAAUCUCGACUUUUGAUGAGAUUUUAAGGGGUCGGGAUUUGACCGGAUGAAUGAGGAUUGCGGGUGUUCUGAAUUUAACAUAUUGGAGUUUAUUUACAAAGAGAUUAACCGAAGCAUUGUUAUCUUUCUCAGUUGCCAUGUAUGCGUAGUCCACUUGGUUCCCAACGAACCAUUCUUCUAAAUGGUGCACAAGGCUCGAACCAAUGCCUUUACGCCGAUGAAAUGGUGAGACCCUUAGCCCUAAAAUGUAGCCAACUUUAGCCAAAUCUUUCAGUGUGACCACUUUGAUUGAACCCUGAAUUGCACCAACUAGCUCAUGGUUCAACUCGGCAACCUACAAAACAAGUAAGCAAAAGGGUCUAAGAAAUUGAAAUAAAGAUUGUGUUAUAUUGAAUGUACAAGUUUACCAGCAUGAUGUACAAGGGACUAUUGCGUAUUCUACAGAUGGGGUCACCCAUGGUGUCAGAGAAGAGGAACACAUGUGAUGGGCCUACUUCACAUCUUCUUUCAAGA